rnacentral:misc_RNA from 1 species
GGAAGGUAUCGUCCUCAGGCGACGGUCUGUACUGAGUCUUAAAAACAGUCCAAAAUGAUAAUGGAAUGCUGAUUGUUCAAAAAGUUGGAAUUCCUUGCCCAAUUUUGACGCGAUUCUUUCUUCAUUUAGUUCUACGCUCCGCCUGUCACUGGCACGCGCCGCCAUCUUCCAUUUGUGCCCUUUUCCCUUUCUUUCCCUUCUUUUUUAUCUUCUUUCUGUCCACUUUCUCUAUUUUUCUUUUCUCUUUAUUUAUACUAUCUUAUUUUUCAUUUCUCUCUCUAAUCACCAUCCCUGCCAACUCCACCGAUACCACCAUAACCAGCAGCAGUAGCACCACUUCUCCCUGAUCACCAUCUCUCUCUGAUUUCUGAAUUUGUCUAAGAUCUGAAACUUUAGAGGAGGGAACGCAGCAAUAAUUUAUGAAUCCACAGCUUCUGAUGAU